AAGUGUGCUUUUAAACAUAUUUACCCUUUAGGGUCAAAAUUUAAUACCAAGUAAAAAAAAUAAAGAAUUGAACUACAUACUCUAAAGUCUAAACCCAAUAAACCCCCGACGUCGAUGUUCACCCGAUUGUUUCUUCGAUUCCGGCCAUAGCGACGCCGACGAGUUCGAUUCCGGUCAGAUCUGACGCCGGCGAGUCCGCCUCCACGACAGAAGACCCCAACGAGUCUGCAACUGUUCUUCGAUUUCGGUACUGCCACAGCCGACGAGCCCUAAUUCUGUCGGUCGUUGCCUCAUCAAGCAAGUCGUCCACUGCUCGCCACCAUAACCUUCUCCCCUGUGAAGACAUCAACCUCACUGCUAAGAUGGAUGUUCUUACAAUUCUUUGUUAUUGGGCGGGAGAACUUGUGAUGGUCGUAUAGUAUGAGUUAUAGUAAAGCUUAAAAAAAGCAAUCAAUGUUAACAGUAGAAUACAGUUCUUUGUAAUUCUUUGUAAGAAGUCAUUGUUGGAUUUAUACCCAAAAAAAUAUUGUAUGUUUGAUUUUGGUUUUAUUUUAAGAUGUCUAACAUUAUUAUUUAUAAAUGAAUUUUAUUAAAAAUUUAGGCCA